UCUAUAGGUGACUGCCAAGGAUAACCUAU
rnacentral:piRNA from 1 species